UUGAACGCUGGCGGCAUGCCUUACACAUGCAAGUCGAACGGUAACAGGUCUUCGGAUGCUGACGAGUGGCGAACGGGUGAGUAAUACAUCGGAACGUGCCCAGACGUGGGGGAUAACGAGGCGAAAGCUUUGCUAAUACCGCAUACGAUCUAAGGAUGAAAGCAGGGGACCGCAAGGCCUUGUGCGUUUGGAGCGGCCGAUGGCAGAUUAGGUAGUUGGUGGGAUAAAAGCUUACCAAGCCGACGAUCUGUAGCUGGUCUGAGAGGACGACCAGCCACACUGGGACUGAGACACGGUCCAGACUCCUACGGGAGGCAGCAGUGGGGAAUUUUGGACAAUGGGCGAAAGCCUGAUCCAGCAAUGCCGCGUGCAGGAUGAAGGCCUUCGGGUUGUAAACUGCUUUUGUACGGAACGAAAAGGCUCUGGCUAAUACCUGGGGCACAUGACGGUACCGUAAGAAUAAGCACCGGCUAACUACGUG
rnacentral:rRNA from 1 species